CUUGAGCUUUGACAUUCAGCAAGUCCCCAAAGUAGACAACGCCAAGGUAAAUGUGCUAUCAAAGCUGGCAACUUUGCUACCCACCGACUAGGAGGAGGGAACGUACUUUGAGAUACUGAAAUCUCGAGCCUUAAGGAGCCUCUCGCUAUUCAACAAAUUGAUGAAGAGCCUUGCUAGAUCGAUCUUCUACUCAAAUAUCUG
rnacentral:lncRNA from 1 species